CAUCUAAGUACCCGGAGGAAGAGAAAGCAAAUGCGAUUCCCUGAGUAGCGGCGAGCGAAACGGGAACAGCCCAAACCAAGAGGCUUGCCUCUUGGGGUUGUAGGACACUCUAUACGGAGUUACAAAGGAACGAUAUAAGCGAAGAGGUCUGGAAAGGCCCGCCAAAGAAGGUAACAGCCCUGUAACUGAAAUGUUGUUCUCUCCAGAGUGGAUCCUGAGUACGGCGGAACACGUGAAAUUCCGUCGGAAUCCGGGAGGACCAUCUCCCAAGGCUAAAUACUCCCUAGUGACCGAUAGUGAACCAGUACCGUGAGGGAAAGGUGAAAAGCACCCCGGAAGGGGAGUGAAAUAGAUCCUGAAACCGUGUGCCUACAAGUAGUCAGAGCCCGUUAAAGGGUGAUGGCGUGCCUUUUGUAGAAUGAACCGGCGAGUUACGAUCCCGUGCAAGGUUAAGCAGAAGAUGCGGAGCCGCAGCGAAAGCGAGUCUGAAUAGGGCGCAUGAGUACGUGGUCGUAGACCCGAAACCAGGUGAUCUACCCAUGUCCAGGGUGAAGUUCAGGUAACACUGAAUGGAGGCCCGAACCCACGCACGUUGAAAAGUGCGGGGAUGAGGUGUGGGUAGGGGUGAAAUGCCAAUCGAACCUGGAGAUAGCUGGUUCUCUCCGAAAUAGCUUUAGGGCUAGCCUCAAGGUAAGAGUCUCGGAGGUAGAGCACUGAUUGGACUAGGGGCCCCUACCGGGUUACCGAAUUCAGUCAAACUCCGAAUGCCGAUGACUUAUCCUUGGGAGUCAGACUGCGAGUGAUAAGAUCCGUAGUCGAAAGGGAAACAGCCCAGACCGCCAGCUAAGGUCCCAAAGUAUACGUUAAGUGGAAAAGGAUGUGGAGUUGCUUAGACAACCAGGAUGUUGGCUUAGAAGCAGCCACCAUUUAAAGAGUGCGUAAUAGCUCACUGGUCGAGUGACUCUGCGCCGAAAAUGUACCGGGGCUAAACGUAUCACCGAAGCUGCGGACUGUUCUAACGAACAGUGGUAGGAGAGCGUUCUAAGUGCUGUGAAGUCAGACCGGAAGGACUGGUGGAGCGCUUAGAAG
rnacentral:rRNA from 1 species